GCAUGUACGGUCUCACAGAUUUUGACAUAUCGCAGUAUGUUGAAGUUACAACGGGAAGGACACGCGCGGCCACUUCUGGUCUUCUGAGAACACAAGCAUGCAAAACAAGUACAUUUCAAAGUUCGUAUUGUGUUAGAAUUGUUAAACUGUGGAACUAUGUUUGUACGUCUGCUCCUUCGUAUUGUUAUGUCACUGUCUCCUCUUUUAAGUCAUACUUGCGCAAUACUUACAUCCACCUCACUAGUACUUCCUACACUCCUGACUUACCUAGUUCACACUCACUUAUCACGACUCAAUAAAAAAUAUCUAACAUUUCUCUCCUUGUCUUUUCAUUCUUUCUGCUUUUUCAUUCUCUUAGUCUUUUCAUUUAAUCUUCCUUGUCUUUGUUUCUUGUCUUUGUUUGUUGUCUAGUGGUGAGCACCUUGCAUGGGACAUAGUCUCGUUUGUGUUUCGCCACUUUUGGCACUUUCCUCGUCUUCUUGUACAAUGUAAUUGUCCGUUUAAGUUAUGUAAAUAUUCAGUUUUUUAUGUGCCAAAUUAAAGUUGUU